CUGUUAAACAGCUGGGAGCCAGAAACCUUGGUAAAUCUGAAAAUCACUCAUCUGUUUUCUGUCCAUCCUCACUAGUAUUUUUUAAAUUAAACUUAUCUGAAGUAAACUUUUAUUGGCAAGCCUAUGUGUGAUUCCUCCUUUGUGUGUGUUUGUCUACAGGAAAUAAACGUUGAAUUUGAAGCACAUUCCAUAUCUGAUAAUGAUAAAAAUGGCAUAAAGAAAUUAUUGCAACAGCUGUUUCUAAAGGCUCCUGUUAAUACAGUAGAUCUGACUGAUAUAUUAAUACA